CGCGAUUCGCCCUUCGGGGUGCCCAGGCGCGAAAACUUUGCAAUAAGCGAAAGCUUGACAGGGCUAUCCCGAGUGCCAUCCGCUGAGGAAGGCUUUUACCCAGUCUAGAACGCUGGGGGAAUAAGGAGAGGGCAAGUCUGGUGUCAGCCGCCGCGGUAAUACCAGCUCUCCGAGUGGUGUGGAUGUUUAUUGGGCCUAAAGCAUCCGUAGCUGGCUGAGUUAGUCCCUUGUUAAAUCCACCAAAUUAAUUGUUGGAUUGCGGGGGAUACUGCUUGGCUAGGGGACGAGAGAGGCAGGCGGUAUUUUCGGGGUAGGGGUGAAAUCCUAUAAUCCCGGGAAGACCACCAGUGGCGAAGGCUGUCUGCUAGAACGCGCCCGACGGUGAGGGAUGAAAGCUGGGGGAGCGAACCGGAUUAGAUACCCGGGUAGUCCCAGCUGUAAACGAUGCAGACUAGGUGUUUGGACGGCCACGUGCCGUUCUAGUGCCGCAGGGAAGCUGUUAAGUCUGCCGCCUGGGGAGUACGAUCGCAAGAUUGAAACUUAAAGGAAUUGGCGGGGGAGCAC
rnacentral:rRNA from 1 species